GUUUAUUCAGAUAGCCAUGCACGUCUAAGUACAAACUAAAUGAUGGUGAAACUGCAAAUGGCUCAUUACAACGGUUAUGAUGUACCCGGGAGUUCCGAUGGAUAUUUCCAGUAACACUAGAACUAAUACAUGUCCCUGCGUUUAUUAGUUUCGCACAGUCCGUCGCUGAGUCAUGGUAAACAGUUGAUCGACUCGACGUCCCGGAACAGUUUCCGCCCCAUCAGCUUCGAUGGUUGGGUAUUGGCCUACCAUUGCAACAACGGGUAACGAGGAAUUAGGGUUUGAUUUCGGAGAGGGAGCCUGAGAAACGGCUACCACAUCUACGGAUGGCAGCAGGCGCGCAAAUUACCCAAUGCAGACACUGUGAGGUAGUGACGAGAAAUAAUAAAGCGGGACUUCUGUUUCGCUAUUAUAAUGAGGAAUAACCAAAGGUCAUUCCGAUUAGCAACUGAUGGGAAAGUCUGGUGCCAGCAGCCGCGGUAAUACCAGCGUCAGUAGCA
rnacentral:rRNA from 1 species